rnacentral:rRNA from 1 species
UGGCCUACGGGACGCAGCAGUGGGGAAUAUUGCACAAUGGGCGAAAGCCUGAUGCAGCAACGCCGCGUGAGCGAUGAAGGCCUUCGGGUCAUAAAGCUCUGUCCUCAAGGAAGAUAAUGACGGUACUUGAGGAGGAAGCCCCGGCUAACUACGUGCCAGCAGCCGCGGUAAUACGUAGGGGGCUAGCGUUAUCCGGAAUUACUGGGCGUAAAGGGUGCGUGGGGGGUUUAUUAAGUCAGAGGUGAAAGGCUACGGACAAACCGUAGUA